GAUAUCAUAGUUCAAAUUUUCCAUAAUCUUUGUCGUCAGAACCCAUCCCCUCGCCCCUUCGCCAUUUUCGCCGAUUUUCGGAGCUUCAAAAUCAAACACCUGUUCUGGACUGCCAAUUCGCUCUUACAGAUUCCACUCCAUCUAAUUCUGAUUGUAGGUAAGUCAUUAACUAAUAUAUUCAUAUUGUUUAUUAUAUUGAUUUUAGGACAAUAUUUCUUAAAGUUUUCCCCUGUAUUGAAUGCUCUGUGGUACAGAUUUUAUGGUUUUGAGUUAGUACUUGGAGAGGAAUAAGGAAAUUUUGUAGCAACACGACUUCUUUUCCAUGUUUACAAUAGAAACGUUGGAGGUUAAAAAAAUUGAAUCUGCUGUAGACAUUUUAUUAUUGUUUACUUAUCCACACCUAUUAAAAGAUAAAUGAAUUAAAUAGUUGGUUUUAGGAGAAUUGUUAGCUGUUUUGAUUUUCUGAAAUAGUUCUUAAAGCUUAGGAUUAUAAUUUGCAAAAGCUAUAAACUUUAUUCAUAACAAGUACAGAAACUUAAAGAAACAAAAUAAUAGUUCUAAAGAAUUACAUCAUAAUUCUAGUACAAUAUGAAUCAUCCUCUUUGCUAUGAGGCACCACUUCGAUGUCGUCGUCUUCCUCCUCGACCCCAAAAAUAAAAGAACAGCCCGGUGCACAAGGCAUUUCACGUCCACGCAGAGUUCGGGGAAAGGCCGAACCCAAGGGAUGUGAUGUAAACAUCGCAACCUAAUACAAACAGUAGCGAUUGCUUCCACUGUUCGAACCCGUGAGCUAUAGGUCACACGGAAACUUGUUUCAAGGUUUCCCUUCUUUGACCCCAACAAUAAUCAUCAUAAUUAAGUCCCAAGUCCAAGGUUCUCCGCAAGCUCUCUAAUCUCGACUUUAUUAUGACAACAAUAUGGCUCCCCUCAAUGGUAUUGAUAGUUGUGACUUGGAUGGAACUACUCAAUACUAUGGUACCCUACCGGGUGAUUAUAAACGUAAGUUGAUGGAAACUAUAAUAUAUAUGUUGGUGUUCAGGCUGAAAUUGAUGAAAAAGGGCAAAUUUUGCCCCUCAAUUUUAUGGUACACCAGUUCUACAAAGUAUCUGCAAAAUUGGGUUAUCUCGCGCUGUUGCAUGGAACAAUUGGAUUAAGAAUGAGUAAGAAAAUUAAAUGGCAGACAUGAAGCUAUAAUUUGAUUGUGCAAUAACUGGUGAACUUGAGCACAAUUUAAAAGACUACUAUUCACAAAGUAAUGCAAUAACUGGUGAACUUGAAAGGCCUAGUGUUGUCACGCGCUUAAGUCAUGAUGUGAGGUUCAAAAUAUGUUGAGCGCUUCACCUCGCAUUACGGGCACUUCUGUCAUCAUCAAGGCUCUAAAGCAUACUUUUCCUUGCCAAUGAGCAUAAUCGUGAAGAGGCCACACCAAACAAUUGACUUUAUCGUAAUUCUUUUUUAAUUUCUUUGUCUAUAUAUUUAACUUAUAAUUGUUAGUCUUGGAUUGCACAUAACUAUUUGUAUUUAGAGUGGUAACAACUGCUGAGAGCACAAUGUAAUGUAAAAGAUACUACCUUGAUUUGUGAAUAGUAAUGUAUUGCAUUUUUGUGCAGGGAAAGGAGGAAGAUGUUUUUGUGAUUCAUUCGGUCGUAAUAUUUCCCGAACCCGAAUACUAAAUUUUUUAAGGCUGCAGAAAGCUGCAAAGCAGACUGGAUUGGAAAGCUAGGAAACGACUAUAUGCCCUUCAAGGUAAUCCAGUUCAUUAGUUGUUUACACAAUGCCAACAAUGUUCAAAUCUCCCAUUACUCCUCUGGUUUUAGUAAAUAAUGAAAUGCCAUUGAAGAAUUCAGCAGUAGUAUGACGCCUUCAGUUUUGCUUUCCCAGAGAUGGUAGAUUGGAAUGAAUACUAGAUUAGUUCAGCAAAGGUUUAGUCAUCAACCUUGUGUCACUAA
rnacentral:lncRNA from 1 species